AUCUUGGAAAUUCAUCUGUCUUCAGGAAGAUGGGGAAAGGCUCUAUGUCUUCCCUCACAGAAUGCUUCAUCAGCUCCAAGCUUCUCAUGACACCUGCUUCAAUUUGUGAGAAAACUGCUAUCAACAUGGACAUGAAAGAUCACUUCCAUUUCUACUGGACAUCUCACAUUACUUACUAGCCCUUUAGAGGCGAGUUAAGGACAAUUUUAGUGUCCUGCUUCUCUGAAGGAAACAUGUGCCUGGGUAUAUUAUCAGAGCAUUGUAAAGGAAGAGCAUUUCUCUGCGAACUCAUGGAAAAACAGUGGGGUUUUUUUUCUUGGCCAGAUUCCCCAAAGAGAAUUGAAU